AGAGCGAACGCUGGCGGCAGGCCUAACACAUGCAAGUCGAGCGCCCCGCAAGGGGAGCGGCAGACGGGAGAGUAACACGUGGGAACGUACCCUUCAGUUCGGAACAACCCAGGGAAACUUGGGCUAAUACCGAAUACGUCCGUAAGGAGAAAGAUUUAUCGCUGAAGGAUCGGCCCGCGUCUGAUUAGCUUGUUGGUGAGGUAACGGCUCACCAAGGCGACGAUCAGUAGCUGGUCUGAGAGGAUGAUCAGCCUCACUGGGACUGAGACACGGCCCAGACUCCUACGGGAGGCAGCAGUGGGGAAUAUUGGACAAUGGGCGCAAGCCUGAUCCAGCCAUGCCGCGUGGGUGAUGAAGGCCCUAGGGUUGUAAAGCCCUUUCGGCGGGAAGAUAAUGACGGUACCCGCAGAAGAAGCCCGGCUAACUUCGCGCCAGCAGCCGC
rnacentral:rRNA from 1 species